CCAUAGCGUAUAUUAAAGUUGUUGCAGUUAAAAAGCUCGUAGUUGGAUUUCUGGUGGGAGCGAUCGGUCUGGCGCUUAGCGCGAGUACUUGCAUCGUCUCCGGCCAUCCUUGGGGAGAGUCUGUCUGGCAUUAAGUUGUCGGGCAGAGGAUCCUCAUCGUUUACUGUGAAAAAAUUAGAGUGUUCAGAGCAGGCUUAUGCCGUUGAAUAUAUUAGCAUGGAAUAAUAAGAUAGGACUUUGGUACUAUUUUGUUGGUUUGCGCACCAAAGUAAUGAUUAAUAGGGACAGUUGGGGGUAUUCGUAUUCCGUUGUCAGAGGUGAAAUUCUUGGAUUUACGGAAGACGAACUACUGCGAAAGCAUUUACCAAGGAUGUUUUCAUUAA
rnacentral:rRNA from 1 species